rnacentral:rRNA from 1 species
GACGAACGCUGGCGGCGUGCCUAAUACAUGCAAGUAGAACGCUGAAGCGAGGAGCUUGCUCUUCUUGGAUGAGUUGCGAACGGGUGAGUAACGCGUAGGUAACCUGCCUGGUAGCGGGGGAUAACUAUUGGAAACGAUAGCUAAUACCGCAUAAAAUGGAUUAUCGCAUGAUAAUCCAUUGAAAGGUGCAAAUGCAUCACUACCAGAUGGACCUGCGUUGUAUUAGCUAGUUGGUGGGGUAACGGCUCACCAAGGCGACGAUACAUAGCCGACCUGAGAGGGUGAUCGGCCACACUGGGACUGAGACACGGCCCAGACUCCUACGGGAGGCAGCAGUAGGGAAUCUUCGGCAAUGGACGGAAGUCUGACCGAGCAACGCCGCGUGAGUGAAGAAGGUUUUCGGAUCGUAAAGCUCUGUUGUAAGAGAAGAACGAGUGUGAGAGUGGAAAGUUCACACUGUGACGGUAUCUUACCAGAAAGGGACGGCUAACUACGU